AAUCCAUGCAUCAGACACUUUCGAAUUAAGUACUUAAAUCGCUCCGAAGCUUCAUAUAGUGUUUCAUCCUCCAAUUGCCCAAAAGAUGUGAUGUCAUUUCUAAGCUU
rfam:Gossypium raimondii chromosome 5, whole genome shotgun sequence.